ensembl:lncRNA
CCGACCUAUUUCAGAACAUGGAAAUUCACAAGAGCACCUUGGGGAUUCAGCCAAUAUUAGAAAAAGAGUUUUGGUGGUGCAGCCCUACCAAAGGAACUGGCAGUGGCAGCUUUGGCCGUCAGCACUGCACACCUGCUGGAGAUAGGGUAGGGAGAAAAAGAACCUCAGCCUAAUGGAAUGCAUGUACCUGCAUGCAUAGACACAUAGGUAUAAGCAAACGCACGUGUUUCUGUAAAUGUGGUGGCACAGGAAGGAUUUGCACAGGUGAUAAUUUUUAAGAUGACAAAAUGAUAUGUAUUUCUUUCUCGGUGUCAUUCUUAGAGUGCUUUGGUUGAGGUUUAAAACAAUAUCCAACAAUCACGAUCAGACAGGCAACACAGUAAAACGGAUUUUGAGUGAUGCAAAUUGGCACAGCUAUUUUGAAUCGCAUGUGAUGCAGACAUAAUAAUUGUUCCUGCCUGCCUGUGUUAAAAUUUCUCUGCUAUACAAAACCUACCAUGAGCUGUAGCUCUCCUUUCUGUUAUGUACUCCUCUGAGCAUGUUUACUACUUAUGGCAAAGUAGUACUGAAUAUCUUGCUGUCAUGUUGGGUCACAGGGCAAACGAACAGCAAACAAAUGAGAAAGCAGAAGCAGAUCAAAACCAAGAGUCAGUGUAUGUAUGUCUGAUGUUGUACUGACUGGAAAUGAUUCCAAAAGUCAACAUAUGUAAGUAGUUAAAUGUGGAUUCUAUUUUCCCUUUGGUCCAGGGCUCUAACUUUCUUUACAGCAAACACUCCCAAGCAUACCAUCUGUUGCUGGAGAGUGAGCAGUUUAAUGAGGAGGAUUAGAUUCUUUCCAUCUCACUUACUCCUUGAUGUCUGCUCCAAUUUCUAGGUCAUUGUUGUCUUCCAGCAAUACAAAAUUUCCUUUGUAGCAUCAGCAGUAACAGUCGUACAUAUAAAUAUAUAUAUAUAUACAAGCACUUAUGUGCAUGUGUACUCUGUAGCCCCCCUGCUCUGCCUUUCACCAGUCCAUUUAUUAUUCUUCUCCCUUUGCCCAGCAGAAGAAGCCUGAGUGUUCAGGAGCAGCAGAGGCUGCCACACUCCAUCCCUGCCAGCGUUAUGUUGUGUUUGUGCCAAGGUAAAGGCCAGCAAGAGCCGUGUCCAGACAUGGACAGAGCUGCAUUAAUCCGUAUGUUUGAGGUGAAGGUCCUAUUGUGCCUCUGCCACAAUGAAAUUGUGCCUCAGACGUGCUCCUCUUGCAGUCCAGCUGGUUUAGCAGUCUGGAAGAACUAGGAACCAGUUGGUUGUAGCAGAAUUGAUGGCAAUGUAUGGCUUGGAGGGAUAGGAUGAUAUCUCAUCCUAAUUAAUAAUCACGUAGAGACUUGCACACUAAAAUGAGAUUCAUGAAUCACUUCUUUUAGCCCUGAGCAAGUCUGCAGAAAAUGUUUUGUUUUUCAGAGGAACAAACAAGACAACAAGCAAAGCUAACCCACUCACCACGAGCACUUCUGUUCAGGCAGAAAGAUCCACAUUUUGGAGGAGAGCACGGCAUUUUCCAAAGGAUGGAAAUGCCAGAGCACUAAUUACCUGAUGCUUUAAUGUACCAACCAGAGGGAAAGAAUGAGUGUUAGGAGCAGACAGCCAGGGAGAUGAGCACAUCUUAGUAUUUAGCAAGAAAGAGAAGCAUACCCAGAUAGUGCUGCUGAGGUGGCAGUCCCAGCACUGAGCUCACAAAUCAGAGGUUUACCUGGUUUCCUUCCUCUGCUCCUUACGGAUGAUAUCCAAAGUCUGAAUACUGGUCUCAAACUUAGUCCUGUCUCUGUGGCAAACUCUGGUACCAUGUGGGAUGAUCUCUAAGAAGGAAUACCACAACAAAGCUGUUGGAUGGGUGUAUAAGAACCAAAAUUACAGUCCAGACUGGAGCCUGCUGCAGGCUAAGACACAGCACAGAGAAAUAAAUGUUUGGAAGGAUCAAAUGAUGAGCAACUCUCAUUUACUGGAAACUAUAUAGGGAACAUCACAUUUUCUUCAAGUCCUUCUUGUCUGGGGUGGGCUAGCCACAUGUACAUUUCUUCUCGAAACCUUUGUAGAUUUGAGAACAUUACAAGCAAAAUCUCAGAAUGACAGAGAGUAUGUUAGUUCCUCAUUUGGUUUUCUCCUCAAAAGAACAGGGAGUUCUUCCUGUCUUGGGACCAUACAGCUCCUGCAAAUCCAGCCGUCUUCUGCUUCUUUGAUCCUCAGCUCAUCAGAGAUCCCAGUGCCCGCACGUUGCUAUCUCAUGGUUUGCUCCCGAUGUUUGGAUUCAAGCAUCAAGAGUGCAGGAAAUGAAUUUCAGUAGAGCUGCAGUGAAAGUAGAACAAAGAGAUUGCAACAGUGAGUAAAAACUCCCAAGAGAUUGACCAUACCCAUUUGGGCAUGAGUAUCUCUUUAGUAGGUGUCUAGGAAAGGUGCUGGUGUUUCAACAACACUGCUGUAACCUUUCCACAAGUGUGCUGGGUAAGAACAGGCACCACUGCUCUGGGAAAAAUGUGCAUCAGCAAGAUGGCAAAGGACUUGAAUCCUCACCAGACAAUCCAGGGAGACAGCACUUGGCUGAGGAUUGGCCAUGGGGGUUCUGUCCCCACCACCAGUGCAACAUUCUCUGUGGCUGUGACUGAUGUUAGGUCACAAAGGUUUGGCAGCCAGGGGUUGCUAAUUUGGUGCUUGCAUAGCUAAGUGUGGGAAAAGAAGCAUAUGACAUGGUUCCAUUUAUUAUUAAAAACCACAGAAAUGUAUUUGAUUGUUGGGGAGUUGUCCUUUGUCUUCCUGUCACUUGUUCCAUACCAUUGCUGGUUCUGCUUUUUACAGUCACAUGUUCCCCUCUAGGCUGGGGAGAGGAUUUUCAAGAUGAGUUACAGCUAUGCUGCUGACUUCAUAUUUGGUAGACUGUGCUCAUGUUUGCUCAUGUUUUGAUAUUAUGCUUCUUUUUUUCUACUGCCACAGAACUUCCUGCCACAUACGAAAAACUUCUGCAAUAAUGGCCUUGUUUGCAUGACAUGAUUUUGAGGAAAACCCUUCAUAGCACGAGGGCAAAGUGUCAGUAGUUGAACACUUGGGCACCUCUCUAAGACCUAAGAUGUCUUGCACAACAGUAAGCCAGGGCCCCCAGCAUAAGAAAGACAUAGAACUGUGGGAGCAAGUCAAGAGGAGGGCUACAGAGGUGAUCAGAGGGGUAGGGCAACUUCCCUAUGAAGAAAGGCUGAGGGAUCUGGGCUUGUUUAGCUGGAGAAGAGAAGGCUAUGGGGAGACCUCACUGUGGCCUUCCAGUUCUUUAAAGGGAGCUUAACAACAGGAGGGAGUGCGACUUUUUUACAUGGCCUGAUAAUGAGAGGACAAGGAAGAAUGGUUUUAAACUAAAAAGGGGGAAACUCAUAGAUGUUCGGAGGUGUUUUUUACUCAGAGGGUGGUUAGGCACUGGAACACGUUGCUUUGAGAAGCUGUGGGUGCCCCAUCCCUGGAGGCAUUCAAGGCCAGGUUGGACGGGGCCCGGGGCAGUCUGAUCCGGUGGGUGGCAGCCCAGACCGUGGCAGGGGGCUGGAACUAGAUGAUCUUCAAAGUUCUUUCCAUCCCAAACCAUUCUAUGAUUCUAUGAUUCUCCGAAUACAUUUCUGUCUCUGUUUAUCCUAGCAAGAGAUUUUCCCCACAGACCUUCCCUACUAGUCUCUAAUGUCUCCUCC